rnacentral:lncRNA from 1 species
UCUCACAGCUGAGAAAUCUUGAAAACCUAUUUUGUGACACUCAUGUAGCCAUGAUGAGCUUUCAUGAAGAAUGUGAAAUGCAUAAAACAUUGACAACUGCCGUGAGAUCUUCUCCCUGGGAAGUAAGCAGCUCUUUCUUCGCUUGCUCUUGGGGAUCAAGGUCAGAAGCCAAGCUGGAAAAUUUCACAAGGCCAUGAACAUCAAUAAAGCCACACUUUGAGUGAAGAAGAAGCUGAAGAGACACCACUAGCCUGGGAAUCAGAAUAAUCGGGGUCCUUCUCCCAGUUCUGGUGUCUCCAAGCUGGGUGGUAUAAAGAAUUACCUUUUUGAAAUAAGACAAGCUGCCUGCUGAAAAGAGGUAAGCAGAGUAGUUACACCUAUAGGUUUGACAGCUAGGUUUGCUAGGUUUGAAUCGCAUCUCCAUCACCCACCUGCCUUGUGACCCUAUGCAAGACUUAUAAGCACUAUUAUCUUUGAUUUUCCCUUACAUGA